GGAGGGGGCGGGACACUAAAUCACAUGCCCCGCCCUUAUCCCUCAGGCCCCGCCCCUCGGGCGCCGGCCCCGCCUCCAGGUCAUCCCAAGAUGGCGGGUGAAUGGGGUCCAGAUCCUGGGGCGCCCCCCUCCCCUUCAGCCGGAACCACCCCACGAGGCCCGAGGACCCCCCCGCCCGUCCCUGAGCCCACCUGCCGCAGCACCCUCGUAACUCCUUGUGUGUCUCUUGGUUUUCAGAGAUGCCCCUGUACUUUGUGGACUUGCAGGAUGACUUAGACGAUUAUGGGUUUGAGGACUAUGGCUCCAACUGCAGUGGCAUGAGGGUGACAGCCUUCUUGGACAUUCCAGGCCAGGACAACCUGCCUCCCCUCGCUCAUCUGUAAAAGUAUGCUUUUUCAGAAGUCACAUCUUCAACUGAGCCCACGAUGCAGACUGAGCUGAUGGAGCAGAUUCCUCCUCUUGCCAUUUUUCUAUAAGAAAACAGAUCAGAUUUUCCAGUGGUGCUCUCUGAAUACCUCAUGCCAAUCAUGGUGCAGUACCUCGCAGAUCCAGACAAUCAGAUAAUCUGCAAGCUGUCGUCAGUGCUGAGCAAGAGCACAGUUGAACGCCUGCUGUUCCCUCGAUUCUGUGAACUGUGUAGCUACGGGAAGGUCUUUCAAGUUCAGAAGCGUAUUUUAGAAAUGCCGGUAACCAUCAUCUUGGAGUUGUUGGAGAGACUGUCCUGGCUUUGCAGCCCUACCAGAACCAAGAUCUUACAUUUUUUGCUGCUCUAGAACCAAAGUGGGGGAAUGUUACAGACCUCGGCAUGCUGCAAGAACAGAAGUAACCCAUCUGUGAUCACUGCAAGCCGGUCACUUCGAGCUUGGCAUGUGCUGCUUACUGUAACUUGAAGGGGAGCUGAUGGUGUCAUACCUGCCUGGGGAGGAAAAGUUUCUGAGACUUUGAUAUUGUGUCCUUCAGGGACCCCUUUCCCAUCUUCGGUCACAGGGACUGCUCCUGGGACAGGCACUAGUUCCAGGUGGCCUGGCAGGCACUGUGCUUCUGUGUCCCUACAUGCCAGAUGAGAUAAGUCUGUGCAAAGGCUGUAGAACCAGGUGGCUCCCUGAGUGUGGGAGCCUCCGUGACAUCAGACUGUCUGGCAGCAGUUUGUUUUGUCUAUUACUGAUGAUAUUAUUUGACCCCCAGUUACCCCCUCUCCAAAAAUAAAGUACUUUACUAGAAGCUUUUACGUCUUCAAUAGACUUGCGUAUUUGGCUUCCGUCAUGUUUCCCAUAAAAUAUAGUUUAUGGUUUUAUAUUUUAUUUUUAACUGAAAUGUUGUGCAUAUGUAAAUAACUCUUGACGGGAAGAAAAUAUAUUAAUGUAAGAUUAGUCUCCUAUCAGUGAAUAGAACAAAUACAUCAUUUAAAUUUAUGUUCUACUCAGAGUUGCUGUAAAUAGAGCCCCAUUUUUUUUACUUGUGAAAGAUGUGAUAGUUAAAUCUACUAAAGCAUGAUUUAUGGCAAUCUUUCUAAUAUUGUACUUUUGUUAUAAAUUGUACUCAGACCUUUUUCUCAGGCACUCACCCCUCCCCUUCUUGCAGGAACCGUUUCCAUAAAGAGAUAUAUUGGCCUUUGAUAGAGACAUAAAACAGAUUUUCAUUCUUAUAUGGCUAUAUUAUCAUUUGUUUAAGAGAUGGGAGGGAAAUUGAUCACUGAGAUGCAUGGAUUUGAACUUUAUAUCUGAUGCUUAAGAAUCUUAAAAAUAGGAAAGCACAGUUCUGAUCAGUCUAUAUAGUUGGCCAUAAACACCAGUGAUGUAGGGGUUUAAGUUAUGAUACGCUUCAAAUCUAAGUACACAGGACUUAAGAGUUUGUGCUUUUAAAAUCUAGACCAAGAGUAAGAUUCUCUAGAAUUUAAAAUGUUUUUGAUUAAUUAAUAACUCAAGGUUCUAGAAACAUCUGAUUAAAUUUUGCAUGUAUGUAUGCUGAUGUUAUUUUUAUUUUUUCUAUUUUUAUCUUCUCAAAGGCCAACAGGAGGGGAGGAAGGAGCAGCCUGUUUGGGGUCCAAGAGCGGGCUGCAAAGGGCACAUGAGUUAUUUCCAUUCUUCCCUGGGAUCUUUUUCUUAUCUUUCUUUUCUUUUUUUUUUUUUAAAUAAAAUUUCUCGAGCUAAUAUUGAGUUUCCUGGUAUACAGGAUGCUUUCCCCUACCCCAAAUUCCACUGGGCUGACUCUAAAAAGUAAGGAAGGAAUCCAGACCAUGCCAAAGAAAAUAAGGCACAUGUAUGAGAAUUUCAAAUUGUAUUGAUAACCCAGGAGAUAGCAUUUUGGCAACUUCAGGAAAGAGUGACUUAAUACAUUGGAGACUACAUAUUAAGAGAAAAAAAAAAUCAGCCUAUCUUGUAUUCAGUGCUUUUCUAGAGUAAAUAGAUGGAGCUAUUGUUUUGCUUCGGUAACAAGCAAAUUUUAAUUUUUUUAUUGCUUAGAAAUUGAGAUUGUCGUGUUGUUGAAAUCUGUUGAUCCAGCAGCAAUGUAGAAUUAUUCAGCUGGAAUCUUGUAUUCUGUGCAGAGCUUCACG
rnacentral:lncRNA from 1 species